rnacentral:rRNA from 1 species
GGCGGUGUCAACGAGUCAGACCUUCUGGCCCGAAAGGGUUGGGUAAACUGGUCAAUCACCGUCAUGACAGGGAUCGGGGCUUGGAAUUGUUCCCCGUGAACGAGGAAUUCCUAGUAAGUGCAAGUCAUAAGCUUGCGCUGAUUACGUCCCUGCCCUUUGUACACACCGCCCGUCGCUACUACCGAUUGAAUGGUUUAGUAAGGUCCUUGGAUCGGCACCACUGUGAUGGUCGUCGAGAGGCGAUUAUCCGAGCGGUGCUGAGAAGACGACCGAAC